rnacentral:sRNA from 3 species
UCGACCCGAGCGAAGCGAGAGAACGUUGCGUCAGCAACGGCCCGCAGGGCGAGCCACGCAGUGGCGAGUCAUCCUCUAUCACCGACCA